rnacentral:lncRNA from 1 species
CGAGAGAAAAAGUGUGGAUGCUAUGUGGUUAUUCUGUUCUAUGCCUUCCACCAUAACCUAGAAAGAGAAGAAAUGAAAGGGAAAGGAUAUAGAAAUACCCUAAAAUUGAAGUCUUUCCGAAACGAGCACCUAAACGUUAAUUAUUUGAGCAGAUGACCCCAACCUUGGAUUUCAACCUAUUAUCUCAAAGGCCAAAAUUCACUCUACGAUUAAGAAUUUUAUGAACUGAG